rnacentral:lncRNA from 1 species
CCGCCCCCCUCCCCGGAAGAAUGGGGGCCUCUGCUCACACCAGAUUGGUCGGACGGCAUCACGUGACCGCAUCUCUUGGACUCACUUGCUAUUCUCGAAAAAGGGGAAAGGAUUUGGGGUGGACAAUCGCGGAGCCUCUCGCUGGCUUUAGGGAGAGAGGACUGGGGUAGAGGAGAGCCCCAGGGAGCAGGCAGAGUUUGGUGACAAGGAUGGAACACCUUGAGUGAGCCUUUCCACUGGGCAAAUUGGAGGAUGUGUAGCCAUCUUCGGUCAGACAAGAGGCCUUGUUUGCUGAAGUCUUUCUUAAACACAUUGACUCAGAUAUUCUUUCUGGGAGCCCUGAGCCCUUCUAACCUCCAGUUCGUCCAUCAACUGAUUACUGCUCAGUCACCUCAGAUGAUACCACUGGGAGCCAGAGAACUGCCUAGCUGUGCCCUGCCUGAAUGUCUGACUCAUAACUCAUGGUGGAUGACCUUUUUCCUGAAGAAACUGCUGCAGAAUGAAAGCUCCAGGGGCUUGGGUGCAGCAAGUAGGCUAUGCAUUUCCCACCAGCAGGAAUCUAGCUCCUGGCCAAGGAAAUCAUACGUGAUGUGUAGGGAAGUGUAUGGGGCAGUGGAAGGAAUGUGGACCGUUGCCUCCCUUCUCUUGUCUGGAUGACCUUGGAUGAGCAGUGACCCCAUCUGACAUGUUGUGUGGCUGGCUGUCCCCCAGUGAAAUCAUAGCCCUGGAGGGCAGGGUGUGUUUCUUCGUUUUCCUGCCUGGUGUGUGGAGACCCCGUGUGACCGUGGCGCAGAUCAGGAGCUCGGUGAGUUUAAGAGAAAACAACGAUUCCUACACUCACUGCCUUAAGUCAGAAUCUUUUCUCCCUGGGCCUGCCUCUUGCAUUAGCCCUGGGCUGUUCGCAGCCACAGACCCCUCUGAGCCACUUCUGUGUUUCCAGGGCUGGCCACCAGCAGGGGCUCAGGAAUGUUUCUUGAACUAAGUUGAACAGAUCUGAGCAGCUGGGAUGUCAACAGGUGAACCUGGAUGGGGGGAGAUAGGUCAGGCUUGGUGCCCAUCAGGCCCAGGGCCAGCACAAGUCGCUUACCUGGGAGGUGAAGGAGAGGAGCAGGGAGAGCAGGCAGGGCUGCCAGCAGGGGAGCCAGCUACCCUGGUGGGAAGCUGGAAACGCUGGGCUGGUGCAGACAUACCAACUGUCAGGGGCACUGCCCUGGGGCUCCCGCCAGUGGCCGCAGGGAGGGCAGGAUGGCGGUGUGGAGAUGCAGAGACUGCAUUGGGGUAGAGGGCGGGCUGAGCCGCUGUGUGGUGGGUCUGAGGGGUGAGUGGUCCUCUGCAGCAGCUGCUACUCAUUGGGGAGGGUGCAGUCAUCCUGGGGGAGGGCAUCCUGAUUCAGGAUGGGAGGGAGCAGGUAGGAGCACCCCAACAAACUGCUGAGGUCACGACUUCCAUCAUGCUCAUUCUUGAACUGAGGGUGAGAAGCACCAGGAUGUGGCCGCCACAUGAGUGUAGCACUGCGUGUGGGGCCAGGGCAGCCAGGGCUCUGUUUUAAUAAGAUAAUUCAGUUUGGGAUCUGGGUGGACCCAGAUUCAAAUCCUGCUUGUAACCCUUGCCAGCUGCUUAAUCAUAGGCAAAUUACUUGGCCUCUCAGCCAUGUUUUCCUUGGUGGUGAAAUGGAGUCAGAUAGCUCCCCAGUAGGAUGGCCGUGCCCCUAUAUGGUAGGUGCAGGCAGGAGGCCUGGGGCAUCCUAGGUUCAAGGCAGGCCACGCAUGUUUGCAUCCCCUCCCUCCACCAGCCCAGUGCCACCUAACCACGUGCUGUUUUUAUCAGCUAAGAUAAAGCUAGCUGCUAUAAUAGAUCAACCUCAGCUUCUCGGUGGCAUGACUUAACACCUUAGAAUUUAAUUCCUUACUCAGGGAAGCCCAGUCCAUAGAGGUGAGAAGUGGAGGGUGCUCUCUGCACUUCUCACAGACCCAGGCUGACAGAGUCCCUGCCAUCCCCAAGGUCCGGUCCUGGAUACCCUUGGCAUUGACAUGUGGCUGCAGACAGUGGAAGAGAGAGAGAGUAGAAGACCUGCCUGAGCUCACUCAGCAUGCGUCAACUUCAUUCCCAGUCCAUGGCUGGAGCGUAGCCACAUGGCUGGAGCGUAGCCCUGGAGCAGUCACAGGGCUGCAAAGGCUGCUGGGAAGUGUGUUCCAUACUGUGUGCCCAGAGCAAGGGAAGGGGUUUGGUGGGAGUUUGCCAGUUCCACCACAGCGCUGCUGUGACAGUUGAAAUCAAAUGCAUGAAGGGACUGGUUUUCACACAGGUCAGGUGUCAUGACUGCUACAAGCUGGGUUUUCCUCCAGCUUGUACUCCUGUCCAGACAGAGCAUCUAUUUUUUUUUUCUAUCUACUGAAUCAGAGAACCUACUUUUCUCAGGUCAGAGUCCAAAUUCCCAACUUGUAUCAAAUGAGAUUUUCUUCCCAGUGAUAAAUAGUGGGAUAUCUACAGACAUUUGCAAGGUGUUCGUCGCACCUCGUGAUUUCUCCCUUGGCAGGGACCUGUGGCCACUGUGUCUGGCUCAGGACACUGACAAAACACCAGGCUCAGGAUUUUUUUCCCCACAAUACAACUAGAUCCUGACCAAGGGUUUUUGAUGAAAAUCAGAUUUUGAAGACUGCUGUGGUUUAUAAGAGCUUCCUCAUGAAGAAGACUUUGUAGACCUCACCAUUUACAGAUAUGAGAGAGAAGUUUCCUUCUGAGUGAUCUCAUUCUGCUCUGAUGUCCCUGGGAACACGCAUUGGAGCCAAUAUCUCCCAUCUUUUCAAAUUAAAUUAGCUCCCUGUAGGGAGCCAGAUAAAAGAAUGAUGGAAAGAAAUGGAACAAUAUAGAUUAGCCCAUUUUUGAUGCUUGGGUUAAAUUUUAUUAAAAUGACUGUUCUGCAUGGCCUAAACCAUCUAUUUUGAGAAUGAUUUGUCAUUAUUUCUAAAAAUGUACUUAUAACUCUGCCCUAAAUUGUAACUAAAUCUGAAAAACAUACUUAAAUUCUGCCUAAGUGAUAACUUAAUCCACAUUUAAAGGACUUCCUUGGAUGAAGGACACUGAAAGUUUAAACUUUGCAACCUGUCUUUUUACUACCCUUUUCUGUUCAUCUUACAUCAGUUUAAUGGCAUAAACUAGUCAUAAUAUGGCAGGUAUUUGAAGACACAAAAACCAUAGUCCUGUGUUUGGAAACUAUUGUUCUUCAAGAAAAUAUAUGCCACUCUGCAAGAAGCCAGAUGUCUUUCCACUGGGGCACAUCUGGUUGAUGGUGGCACUGCUCAUGUCCUCUCUGUCCAGGUUGACCACAUGCCCCAGGUUGCAGACCACAUCCAGUUUUGCCUGUUGUUAUAGCAUCAUAAUAGGGCCCCCAUUCACUCUCAAAAGUGUCCCCUUUUGGAUCACCCUAUAUGGUCACCCUGCAUCUGGUUGAUGUGAUAUUAGUAAGCAUAAAGUGAUCUUUGAGGAAGCCUGACCACUUAUCCACUGGGGGACUGGAGUCUGUGAGAAAUAUUGACUUUAUUUUAAAAGACUUCAAUACCUUCAGACACAUUGAUUUUUGACGACAUGAAUUGUAUGUAUAAAGAGUGUUCAGUAAGAUCAGAGAGAGUAACUGAAAUCACAUGAAUCACAGAGGCAUGGAGUCUAAUAUGGCAAAACCACGUUCCAUCCUCUAGUCUCGGACAUCAGCAGCUCCACCUAAUGGUUCUCUGGACCUGAUGAGCCCUGAAAGCCCUCCGUUAGGUGAAGACGGAGCUCACAGCUCCGGGCCUCAGGCUGUGCCUUUCCUUAUCUCUACUGCUUUUCAGGAGACGCUGAUAGCCCCUCCCUGGUUAGCCUGGUGCUUUCUGCCAUGCGCCUGUGACAUGUCUGCAACUGCCACUGCUUGGAAUCUUCAGUGGCGCCCCUGCCUUCAGUGUCCUCUGCCCAGCUCCAUCAGGGUGUCUGUUUCUUUGACCUCUACCAGGAGAUGUGGGGCAUCUGCCGUCCAGAUCCCAGGCAGGUGGAGGGAUAGGCGGGUGUGGGCCCUCAUUUGGGGUCGGCGGGCACUCAGAGCCAGCAUCUGCAGGUGGAACUCCAACCCCACACCCAUUGGCUCUGUGACCUCACAGGCUUCAUAACCUUGCUGUGCUUCAGUUCCCUAGGCUGUCAAAUGUCUAAUAGUUGCUACCUCCCAGGGUGUCACAAGGAUUAGAGGGGUUAUGACUGUGCUCAGUGUACAGGAAGGGUCACCCCCAUGCCUGCCCCAAAGCCUGCCUUACUCACCCCUGCUGCCCUACGGGAGGUGCUCUCUGUUGUUCAGACAGGGACAUUUCAGUUUGGAGAGACAGACUUGCUGGGCUCAGAGCACCCCUAAGGAGGUCACUAAGUGUGGCCUGGAACCCCAGGUAUGGAAAGGUGUCCUGGUGCUGGGAGGAGAGAGGUCCCACAAGCCUCCAGGCUGGGUGCCUGAUGCUCUCCUCUGGAGGUUUCCUCACGCAUGACAACACUCCUGCUCCCAGCUCCCAGCUGGGCCUCUGAGCUUGGGAAAGGUGGCCGGCUGCUGGGCUGGCAGCCCGGAACCUCAUCUCCAGAGGGCACAGCUGAGUGAGGGGUGAGAUUGGGUCUUCCUGCCACCCUGCAGGGCCCUGGCAGGCUCUCUCCUGCCUUUCCUUCCCUCCACCUGGGACCCCACGCCCAGCUCCCCUGACCUCUCCUCCUGUUCUCUGUGCAGUUGUUCUUGUCCAGGCUGCCUCUUACUGAGGCCUAUCAUGGCAACAUACCAACACCAAGCGCUUUGCAGGAGGUCAGGGUCUCCCCAGCCCCUAACCCCACAAGACUGUCAGCUGCUUGAGGCAGGAAUGUGCCUGUUGCCCUCACUGCCCAGCUCCCUGCCAGCACCUACCCCAG